ensembl:lncRNA
CUUCACGCUCCUGCUCCGCGCCUUCGGCUCGGUUCUCCCUUCACUGCUCCUUCCCAACUCGUCGCACCCGCAGCCUGUCAAAAAGCUGAAUGUCUGCUCCAGCUGUCAAGUACAUCUUGACAAGUUCAAGUCUGUGAGCUGCUACAGUACAGAAGGGAAUGAGUGAGAUGAGAAGUUAGGAGUCUCUGAAAAGAUUCACUGGGAGGCAACUUAUGAUCCGUGGAUAACUGUUUAUCUAUAAAACAUCAAAAAACUCAUCUUGGAGGAAUUUAGUAAACAAUGAGCAACAGCGUCCUUGGGAAUGAACAAGGAAGUAAGCACAUAAAACAGUGGACAACAAAGACAUUUAUCUUCUGUUUCUGUUGAUGGACUGAAUAAGCUGCUGACCAGUCUUAUCAAUUGAAGUAAAUGGCAAGACCCCCUUUAGCUUCCGUGAUUCAAAUGGAGCCUAGUAAGUGCUACAGAGUCCAGAUGUUCUGCAGCUGUUAAUCUCCCAGAAUUCAUCUCCCAUGGCAGAAGCCUAAUCCACAGAAAAGAGUAAUGCCAUUCCUACAUAACUGUUGGGUGGAACACUUGCCUGGGCAUGUGAAGAUUUGAGUCUGAAUUACAGUGGAACACAUAACUAAUAGAGUAGGCAACACAUUUUUCAAAUAAACUGAAAUACUUGGAAACUUUCUAAGUUUUAUUUUAGUAAGUGAACUGGCAACCACUAGGAAGUGAUAUAUAUCAAUAUCUACUAUACUGUUUGAAGCUACUUCUAGUCAUGGAAUCAUAGAAUCAUAGAAUGUUUUGGGUUAGAAGGGGCCUUUAAGAUCAUCUAGGUCCAGCCUCCCUGUUAUAGGCGGGGACACCUCCAUCUUGACCAGGUUGCUCACAGCUCCAUCCAGCCUGGCCUUGAAUGCUUCCAGGGAGGGGGCAUCCACAGCCUCACUGGGCAACCUAUACUGGAACUUGUUUUGUGAGAUUGUGAUGAUAAUAAUUCAACAUAUUAUUACAUAUGAACUUGUGAUAUAGAUGACUUUGAUUUGUUAUAAAUCACUAAGUUUUAUGUGAUUGACAUUGGCUCUUUGAGAAAUUAGAUUAUGAACUUGACAGGUAAAACCAUCAACUUUGCAUAACCAUAAGGAAAAGCCACCAUAACACUGUUAGUUAAGAAGGUUAUAGAAAGAAGAGGGAAAGAGAACCUUACUUUGUCUUCUCUCUGUGCAGGAAAAGAGCACUGAUAGCUGCUAAUUGGUUACUCUAAUUCCAAGUGACACCAGAGCCUAGUUUCAAAAGUUUUAUUCUCUAGUUUUAAAGUAUAGCACAUAUUAUAUAUGAUUGUACUGUGAUAUAGGUAUCACUCCUCUUUAUUAUUUUCAGUGAUUGUGAACUUUCCUAAAUAGCCAAAUACAGAAGCUCAUUGUGUUUUGCUUCUUGUUUUUCAUCCAUGCUAUAGCCAAUGACUGUUUCUUUCCACAUACAUGGCAGUCACAGAUGUUCUUUUUCC